GAAACGGGUGGUAAUGCCGGAUGCUCCAUCACACCGCAUGGUGUGUUGGGAAAGCCUUUGCGGCAUGGGAUGGGGUCGCGUCCUAUCAGCUUGAUGGCGGGGUAACGGCCCACCAUGGCUUCGACGGGUAGCCGGCCUGAGAGGGCGACCGGCCACAUUGGGACUGAGAUACGGCCCAGACUCCUACGGGAGGCAGCAGUGGGGAAUAUUGCACAAUGGGCGCAAGCCUGAUGCAGCGACGCCGCGUGAGGGAUGGAGGCCUUCGGGUUGUAAACCUCUUUUGUUAGGGAGCAAGGCAUUUUGUGUUGAGUGUACCUUUCGAAUAAGCACCGGCUAACUACGUGCCAGCAGCCGCGGUAAUACGUAGGGUGCAAGCGUUAUCCGGAAUUAUUGGGCGUAAAGGGCUCGUAGGCGGUUCGUCGCGUCCGGUGUGAAAGUCCAUCGCUUAACGGUGGAUCCGCGCCGGGUACGGGCGGGCUUGAGUGCGGUAGGGGAGACUGGAAUUCCCGGUGUAACGGUGGAAUGUGUAGAUAUCGG
rnacentral:rRNA from 1 species